rnacentral:rRNA from 1 species
GAUGAACGCUAGCGGCAGGCCUAAUACAUGCAAGUCGAACGGGUGGUAGCAAUACCACUAGUGGCGCACGGGUGCGUAACGCGUAACCAACCUACCCGGAACUGGGGGAUAGCCCGCCGAAAGGCGGAUUAAUACCGCAUAAACCAGCAAUUUGGCAUCAGAUAACUGGUAAAGAUUUAUUGGUUCCGGAUGGGGUUGCGUGCCAUUAGCUAGUUGGCGGGGUAAGGGCCCACCAAGGCGACGAUGGCUAGGGGAGCUGAGAGGCUGAUCCCCCACACUGGCACUGAGAUACGGGCCAGACUCCUUCGGGAGGCAGCAGUAGGGAAUAUUGGGCAUGGGCGAGAGCCUGACCCAGCCAUGCCGCGUGCCGGAUGAAGGCCUUCUGGGUUGUAAACGGCUUUUCUCAGGGAAGAAAACGGUCUUGCGAGACACACUGACGGUACCUGAGGAAUAAGCACCGGCUAACUCCGUGCCAGCCGCCGCGGUAACAC